AAAGAAAGCGUAAUAGCUCACUGGUCGAGUCGGCCUGCGCGGAAGAUGUAACGGGGCUAAACCAUGCACCGAAGCUGCGGCAGCGACGCUGAUGCGUUGUUGGGUAGGGGAGCGUUCUGUAAGCCUGCGAAGGUGUGCUGUGAGGCAUGCUGGAGGUAUCAGAAGUGCGAAUGCUGACAUAAGUAACGAUAAAGCGGGUGAAAAGCCCGCUCGCCGGAAGACCAAGGGUUCCUGUCCAACGUUAAUCGGGGCAGGGUGAGUCGACCCCUAAGGCGAGGCCGAAAGGCGUAGUCGAUGGGAAACAGGUUAAUAUUCCUGUACUUGGUGUUACUGCGAAGGGGGGACGGAGAAGGCUAUGUUGGCCGGGCGACGGUUGUCCCGGUUUAAGCGUGUAGGCUGGUUUUCCAGGCAAAUCCGGAAAAUCAAGGCUGAGGCGUGAUGACGAGGCACUACGGUGCUGAAGCAACAAAUGCCCUGCUUCCAGGAAAAGCCUCUAAGCAUCAGGUAACAUCAAAUCGUACCCCAAACCGACACAGGUGGUCAGGUAGAGAAUACCAAGGCGCUUGAGAGAACUCGGGUGAAGGAACUAGGCAAAAUGGUGCCGUAACUUCGGGAGAAGG
rnacentral:rRNA from 1 species